GAGUUUGAUCCUGGCUCAGAACGAACGCUGGCGGCGUGGAUAAGACAUGCAAGUCGAACGAGAUUUUUCGUCGUAGCAAUACGAUGGAAAGUCUAGUGGCGAACGGGUGCUUAACACGUGGGCAACCUGCCAUGAAGUGGGGGAUAGCUCGCCGAAAGGCGAAUUAAUACCGCAUGUGAUUAGAGAGGACAUCCUUUCGAAAUUAAAGUCGGGGCAACCUGACGCUUCUUGUGGGGCCCGCGGCCUAUCAGCUAGUUGGUGAGGUAACGGCUCACCAAGGCGACGAUCCGUAGCUGGUCUGAGAGGAUGACCAGCCACACUGGGACUGAGACACGGCCCAGACUCCUACGGGAGGCAGCAGUGGGGAAUAUUGGACAAUGGGCGAAAGCCUGAUCCAGCCAUGCCGCGUGGGUGAAGAAGGCCUUAGGGUUGUAAACCCCUUUCAGCGGGGAAGAUAAUGACGGUACCCGCAGAAGAAGUCCCGGCUAACUCCGUGCCAGCAGCCGCGGUAAUACG
rnacentral:rRNA from 1 species